UACUUUUUUUACUCUUUUUAGGUGAAACUGGUGAUUUAUAAAAACCAAACAGCUGUGGUUAAUAUGAUAUUUGAUGGACAAAAUACAAAUCGUGAAACCUGGUUCUCUCAUGAAAAGCUGAAAAGUUCCCCAUGGAAUGAUUUAUCUUCAACCACCCCAUAUAUUUUCUCACUUCGGGGAUUUAGGAUAUGGAACUGGUGAUUCCAUGACCGUCUUCAUCCGCUUAAAAACCUAACUAACCAAUCAAAAGAUUUCCUGUAACUGACGUCCAUCUCUACAAGAUAUGGAGAAAACGAAACUGACUAAAACCUUGGGAUAUUGUCACCCGAUGUCUUUUUCAUUUACUGUAGUUACUUUUGAGAAGCACAUUUAAAGUAAGAAUGAUUCUUCAUUUGUUCUCUGAACACUUUUAAAGCUCGAUUUUCCAGAAAUAUUCAGGACCGAAUUAUUUUAUACCUUCCGACAUUGUAACAAGUCUAGUGGACAUCGCAGAUGGAGAAAUUUAUAGACUCCCUUUGUUGUUGUAUUUUAGAUUAAGUUAAAAAAAAAACUCGAGUACAUUUAAUAGUGUUUUAUAUACAUUAUACUUUUUUUCAUUAAUGUUCUAGAAAUUAUACAUUUAUAUUUUUCGUCGUUUGUGUUUCUGAGUCAGUUUUUGUAAUUUCUAUUGUGAGCCAUUGCUUCAGGUUAAAUAGUGCCACGAAACAGAUUUGGUGUAAUUCGAGAUAUGUCACCGUAAACACAGGUUUAUGCAGCUUAACAGGUGAGCUAUAACAACACAAACUAGCAGUACCUGUGAGAAUUCCACAUUAUUUUCAAAAUUGUAUAUUUUGCUGAAAAAUUUGAAUAAGAUGUGAAAACCCACGUAGGCAGUAUUGAAGGAGCAAUCUAUCUAUCUAUCUAUCUAUCUAUCUAUUUGUCUGUCUGUCUGUCUGUCUAUCUUCUGUCUGUCUGUCUAUCUUCUGUCUGUCUGUCUGUUUAUCUAUCUAUCUGUCAGCCUGUCUAUCUACUUAACUGUCUAUCUACUUGUCUGUCUGUCUGCCUGUCUAUUUGUCUGUCUAUCUACAUGUUUAUAUGAAAAAUGCCCAUGAAAAAUACACAGAAAAUGCAAAGUUCUGCAGUUCCCUUUUACUUGAACUAUAAAAAGAAAAUCUGUGUGUGUGUGUUAAUGAAAAAUUGUGCGAGUGUAUCUAAACUGGUUAAUGUCUGUUCUUGCACUUUUGAUUAUAUUGACAGAUAUAUUGACACUAUUGACAGAUAAUGCGUUAUGUUUACGUAUGACAGAAGAUGGGAGUGUUAUAGUUGGGGAAUAGACCCGACGAAAGCCUCCUUAAGUCGAUCAACACUGACAGUCUCCCAUGAAUGUUCAAAGCCAAAUACUUUUAAUACACUAUACGGGCCGGAAUAAUCUGUCUGCAAGAGAUGCUUAACUGCAUUGUUGCAUAUAAAACGUGAGUCCCGGUAUUGAUAUUGUGUUGAAGAAAAGUCGGUGGAGGUAAAGA